GAUUAGGGAUACUAAUGCUAGUCAUUGUUUUUGUGACUUUGUUCCACGAGAAUAUCCGCUCUUCAAUUUCAACAUUUGCUACUGGAAUAGAGCAACUCCGGACAAAUCUUGGAAAAGUCACAUUUACACCAGAAGAUUGGAAAGGUUCUGAACUAAACUAUGGGCAUGAAUUGUGGGUGCCAUUUAAAUAUCUAGGACGAUUCUUUUGGCCGUUCAAAGUAAAAGGACAUACAUCAAUAUCAACAUCUGUUAAAGCCGUAUUUUUCAACGUACUCUCGAUAUUUUGGCUCCGUCCAGUUGUUGAUCGUCUGCAAUUUCUCACGCACUCACCUUCUAAAUUACGAGUCAUCUAUAGACAGCAGGCCAAAGACAAAUCUCUUGCCCAAUACUAUAUGAUAAUGGAACAGAUUCCUGAGCUUCUCAUCCAGUUUUACAUUUUUCAAAUCUACUUCAACAUUUUGAGGGAAGAUGGGGAUUUAAGAAGUUCUGGAUGUACGGACUAUCAUAGUUUCGAUUACGAUUCUGGGGAUUUUGAGUGUGUCGAAAACCUACUGAGAUUAAAGAUAUGCGCGUCAUGGGUGGAAGUAUAUUCAAUGAUAGUGCCGUUUGUGAAGAUUCCCAACAGCGUGAUCGGUUUGGAAGUGAUACUUCGGAAACUCCAUCCAGCAACACCAAAGAUGUCUACUGUUGCUCUCGUGCUAUUGUAUAUAGCUUAUGUUCUGAUGAUUCCUUCUAGACUCUUCCUAAUUGCAGCAGUUAUGCACUCAGUCCCCAAUCACUUCUAUGUUGCUGGAUAUCUUGGAUUAUCAACUUUAGUUUGGUUUGUUGUUAAUAAGAUCACGAUAAGUAUAGCCAGCAAGAAAAUACCAAGUUCAAAGGAUAAAGAAGAAGAACUUACGAUACUACGACGUAUUGGUGAUAUGUGGUCUCUCCUGCUAUUCAGUUUUAGAGAUGUUAUUGUCAUUUCGCUACGUCGACCGAAUGCAUAUCUUAUUUCCCCCUCAGAAGUAGGCUACAAAACUUUACGGACCUGGAAAGAGAUGAUGCUCAUAUCAACCUACAUGUUUGUCGAGGGAGUUAUAGGCGCAGUUUAUGUUGAGAAUAACUACCCCUGCGGUAGGAAUACUGAUAUCUUCAAAUACCAGGGAUGGCUCUACCUAACACUACUAAUUAUUUCAACUACCCUCAUAACUUUGCUUUCUUACAUUCUCCAGGUCAAUAAAACGAACUUUAAAAACUUCCGAAUGAAGUCAGCCUUUAUCUGCGGAUAUGGGUUAAUAAUGUGGUUAAUAGUAUCUUUGACGUUGUUUAUCUCGAGAACAAGACAUGGCCUGAUUGAGCUAAUAUUGGUGAUCAUCGUAUUAGUGAUCCUGAUGAUUAUCUUUCUUGUAGCAGCUAUAUUGUUAAGAAAGUUUAGUGAAGCAAAACUACCGAAAAAAGGGAAGGAUGAAGAACAAGAAAAACAAGCUUCCGCCUGCUGUCCAAUCUCUUAUUUCAAAAAGUCUUGCUCUAAAUCUAUCUGUUGCAGAUGUAAGACUACUUCAGAUGAACUUUCUUUGUCAACCCUGCCACUAUCAACUCAGACUCAUCGUUGUGAAACUGAAACGGAACGCAGCACACUUUUAGCAAACAUACAGGAAGAGGAAAUCAGUGAUAUUGAAGCUCAGAAUGUAGAAGCUGACAUUACACCAGCAGAAGACGAACACGGGGUAUUCCAAGACUCGCAUGUAUAGUUUAAAAGCUUUAUUAUAUUUUUUAUUAUUAUGUUUUAUUUAUUAUUUGUAAGUUUUAAAUGAUGCCUAUCGUAUCAUUCAAAUGUUUCAAGAACCCACCUUGAAGAAGACACAACACAUAUUGAUAGAUCUAAUAUAAGGAUGAGAACCGGAGUUCACAACUUUCAUCAGAAGUGCUUCCUCUAUAAGGGAAACAAUUUCAUACUUUUCACGGAUACAAAGAUGAUAUUUUUAUCCUUUCACCUUAAUCUUAUUAUCAUUAGUUCUCUUUUACUUUCUUUAUCCUUCUCAACUCAACACUAUCCAACCCGACUCUUUAAAGACAAAAACCUCCGCAAGCAACUCAAGAAUCGCUACAUUUGAGUUCUCAAAUAACAGGCGAGGAUCAGUGAAAAGCAGUGAUCAGGAGCAGUUUACUUGUGGUUUAGUUGGUCGCUAUGGUAACCCUAGACACUCACGUUUAACUGAUCCUGUUGAGACACCUGCACUAAUUUGGAGAUAGUAAUGUGACUGAAAGGCGACUGAAAGACACGUGAUGCCCAUAUAAGGACACUUAUCUUCCAAAUCACGCCCACAGUACCUCCUGUACUCCUUCACUGAUACUGCAGAGAAGAAAGCGGUGUUUAUAUCCCUUAUAUGGGUAUCACGUGUUUGUGAGUCAAGAACUUCUUUUUGUGUUAGAGCUAACUUCACUUCCUCAUUGAACAAAAGGUUAUGAGCGCUGCCAACUUUAACAUCCUUCCAAAGAAUACACUGCCACCCUUUCCACUCCUCUUCAUCAUCCCUUCCGUUCCCUCCUAAGAAGAUUAACCUCUGUGAAAAAGACAGUUGUUCCUGGUUCCAUCAUCUUAAGUAAAAUAUAUCUACAUUCGCUGAUUGUGCGAUAUAUUCUGUCUGGUUACACGAUAUUAAAAAUGUGGGGUAAAUCAAUAAUUAUGUCUAAGAAUUGAGUUGUCAGAAAAAUGAACAUUUAGCUAUAGGUUUUUAUUGUAAGUAUAGUUGUGAGUUAACAAAUCUUACUAAGUUUUUAAAUCCAGCUGCACUGCUGUAGUCAGUAGUUACCGUCCAGUAAAAAUGUAAACUUUUUAUUAAUAUCACUCAGAUAUUGUUCCGUAUAUCUACGUUUUCAGCUGUUUUAGCUAGGUUAUGUAACCUCAAUUAACUUUCGUCAAAUUACCUAAUUAAAUUAUUAUUGCCCAACUAUCCUAUAGGGUUUUAUUGGAAACUUCCAGUACUAUUUUGCCUUAAAAUAACACUUUUAGUCUAUGUGAGAAAUUUUCUAACUGAUAUGUUAGUAAAAGUGUUAAACUGUUUUAAAUUUGACCGAUCAUAAUCAGACUAUUAUAUAUCAGGGCAUUUUAAAAACAGCGAUUCAGUUGUUUAUUAUUAAUUUUAUUUGCAAAGCUACUUUAAUUUUGCGGUUUUGAUAAUGUGUUAAAUCCACAGGGUUGUUAUAAAUUUAACUACUUCAACGUUGUUUUUUAUGGCUUGGUAUAAUGACCUUCAGAACUAA